rnacentral:rRNA from 1 species
GCGCACGGGUGAGUAACACGUAUGAAACCUGCCCGUAGCAGGGGGGGAUAAGCGGAAGAAAUUCCGUCUAAUACCGCGUAACAACCCUUGGAGGCAUCUCCUCGGGUUUAAAGGAAGCGAUUCCGGCUACGGAUGGUCAUGCGUCGCAUUAGCUGGUUGGCGGGGUAACGGCCCACCAAGGCGACGAUGCGUAGGGGUUCUGAGAGGAAGGUCCCCCACACUGGUACUGAGACACGGACCAGACUCCUACGGGAGGCAGCAGUGAGGAAUAUUGGUCAAUGGCCGCAGGGCUGAACCAGCCAAGUCGCGUGAGGGAUGACGGUCCUAUGGAUUGUAAACCUCUUUUGUCAGGGAGCAAAGGGCGCCACGUGUGGCGCUUUGCGAGUACCUGAAGAAAAAGCAUCGGCUAACUCCGUGCCAGCAGCCGCGGUAAUACGGAGGAUGCGAGCGUUAUCCGGAUUUAUUGGGUUUAAAGGGUGCGCAGGCGGAAUGUCAAGUCAGCGGUAAAAUUUCGGGGCUCAACCCCGUCGUGCCGUUGAAACUGGCGUUCUUGAGUGAGCGAGAAGUAUGCGGAAUGCGUGGUGUAGCGGUGAAAUGCAUAGAUAUCACGCAGAACUCCGAUUGCGAAGGCAGCAUACCGGCGCUCAACUGACGCUCAUGCACGAAAGCGUGGGUAUCGAACAGGAUUAGAUACCCUGGUAGUCCACGCAGUAAACGAUGAAUACUAACUGUCCGGGCAGAAUGAUGCCUGGGUGGUACAGCGAAAGCGU